rnacentral:snRNA from 1 species
GCGCUCGCUUCAGCAGCGUAUGUACUAAAAUUGGAAUGAUACAGGGAAGAUUAGUAUGGCCCCUGCUCAAGGAUGACACACAAAUUUGUGAAGUGUCAUAUUAAAAA